UACGGGAGGCAGCAGUGGGGAAUAUUGGACAAUGGGCGAAAGCCUGAUCCAGCCAUGCCGCGUGUGUGAAGAAGGUCUUCGGAUUGUAAAGCACUUUAAGUUGGGAGGAAGGGCAGUAAAUUAAUACUUUGCUGUUUUUGACGUUACCGACAGAAUAAGCACCGGCUAACUCUGUGCCAGCAGCCGCGGUAAUACAGAGGGUGCAAGCGUUAAUCGGAAUUACUGGGCGUAAAGCGCGCGUAGGUGGUUCGUUAAGUUGGAUGUGAAAUCCCCGGGCUCAACCUGGGAACUGCAUUCAAAACUGACGAGCUAGAGUAUGGUAGAGGGUGUGGAAUUUUCCUGUGUAGCGGUGAAAUGCGUAGAUAUAGGAAGGAACACCAGUGGCGAAGGCGACCACCUGGGACUGAUACUGACACUGAGGUGCGAAAGCGUGGGGAGCAAACAGGAUUAGAUACC
rnacentral:rRNA from 1 species